rnacentral:tRNA from 1 species
UAUAUUUUUAGUAUAUUAAGUAUGACAAUUUUAGGUAUUGUUGGUUUGUAAAAUAUAA